rnacentral:tmRNA from 1 species
GGGGGCGUUCCGGUUUCGACGGGAUGUCUGAUGCGCUGGCUGCACGUGGAGGUUGAUCGGCUGGCCUCCUUAAAAGCCGCUCAAAACAAACAAAUGCAGACUCUAACGAGCUCGCACUGGCUGCUUAAUUGACAGUCACGUCCGACCCCCGACGCCUGUUACGGGGAAGGGCGACACCUAACAGGCUGGGCGGAGCGCCGGGGAACCGGGCACCCCGCCGAGACCAAACAGGCUCCUAGGAACGACAACGCCGCACGGGGGCCGAGCCGAUCCGAAACACCAGACCCCAUGCUAAACGUGUAGAUGCCCGCGUUGACGGCGUUUCGGACAGGGGUUCGACUCCCCUCGCCUCCACUG